rnacentral:rRNA from 1 species
GCAAGUCGAGGGGCAGCAUGGUCUAGCUGCUAAGACUGAUGGCGACCGGCGCACGGGUGAGUAACGCGUAUCCAACCUUCCCCUUAGUAGGGCAUAGCCCGGCGAAAGUCGGAUUAAUACCCUAUGUUGUAUUUCGAGGACAUCUGACGAAUACCAAAGAUUCAUCGCUAAGGGAUGGGGAUGCGUCUGAUUAGGUAGUAGGCGGGGCAACGGCCCACCUAGCCUACGAUCAGUAGGGGUUCUGAGAGGAAGGUCCCCCACAUUGGUACUGAGACACGGACCAAACUCCUACGGGAGGCAGCAGUGAGGAAUAUUGGUCAAUGGACGAGAGUCUGAACCAGCCAAGUAGCGUGCAAGGAUGACGGCCCUAUGGGUUGUAAACUGCUUUUAUGCGGGGAUAAAGUCACCCACGUGUGGGUGUUUGUAGGUACCGCAUGAAUAAGGACCGGCUAAUUCCGUGCCAGCAGCUGC